UACGUAGGUGGCAAGCGUUGUCCGGAUUACUGGGCGUAAAGAGCGCGCAGGCGGUCGUUCAAGUCGCGUGUGAAAGCCCCCCGGCUCAACUGGGGAGGGUCACGCGAUACUGAUCGACUCGAAGGCAGGAGAGGGAAGUGGAAUUCCCCGGUGUAGUGGUGAAAUGCGUAGAUAUCGGGAGGAACACCAGUGGCGAAGGCGACUUCCUGGCCUGUUCUUGACGCUGAGGCGCGAAAGCUAGGGGAGCAAACGGG
rnacentral:rRNA from 1 species